AUGCAAUUCUACUCCACAGCUCACUUCUACCCAGAUGGAAGGAUUGUCUGGAUGUCUGGAGGCACUAGGUACCAGUCCACGGUUGCUGAAUGGGCGAAAUUGAUCAAUGCUCUAGAAGGGAGUGAAGAUGACUUGGAUGUCUAUGCCAAGAAUAAGAAGGAUCACAACACCAUGGCACACAUGUACAAGGAGAUCCCAGAUGCUGCUCUUGAGACACACAAGUUUGAAUUUGUACAUUACCUUCUGUCAGGCUUGCCAACUAUCAACUGGAUCCUCAGGCACAUUCUCUUGCCAAAGUCAGGAGAUCACAAGAUGAUCAGAGGCCAUGCAAUAAACUUGCUUCACAUCUUUGAUGUCCCACAAAAGUUCAAAGUCAUGAGCCUAAUAGUGGAAACCAUAAAAAGGACAGCUACAGAUCAGAAGAGGAGUUGUGGGUAUGCCCCAUAG
rnacentral:rRNA from 1 species